rnacentral:rRNA from 1 species
GUAGUUAGCCGGGACUUCUUCCUGGGCUACCGUCCUCUCUCUUCACCCAGAAAAGAGCUUUACAACACGAAUGCCUUCUUCACUCACGCGGCAUUGCUGCCUCAGGGUUUCCCCCAUUGGGCAAUAUUCCUCA